UAGUAUGUGAGUUUGAUGUUGGCUCUGUAUUAUUACUAUCUAGAUAUAUGAUACAUGCUAACAGUACUAUACCAUAUAUACAUAGUAAUAUAUAUAAUAUAUGAUAUAUAGUAGUAUAUGUGUAUAUAUAUGGUAAUAUGUUGUGAAAACGUGAGUAUAGGAUAUCUAAUAACUACUGUAUACUAUAAAAAUUAUAGUGAUAAGUAUGUAAUAUAUAGUACAUAGUAAUAUUACUAUAUAUUAUAGUAUGUAUAAAGUAUAUAUGUAUAUAUAUAUGUAUAUACGGUGGUAGUGUAGAUAUAUGUAGUAUUAGGUAGUUGGUAUACUAUGAGAGAUACCAAGCCUAUAAUAUGCUUAGGAAAUUCUGGAAGGUAUAUUUCCCACGGUAAUAUAGAGAUAAAGAUUACUACCUCUUAGGUACAGCAGUAGAGAAUAGUUGUCAAUAGGUGAGAGCCCGAACACGUAAUCUAGAAAGGCGGUACUACUAUAAUACAUAGUAACACUUACAUAUAGUAUAUACUAUACUUUUUAUAGUAUUAUAUAGCUAAUAAUAUUAUACUAUAGCAAUAUAGUAUAGUAUAUAUAGCAAUAUUAUAUACAUAAUAAUAUAGUAUAGUAUAUAUGGUAAUAUUCUAUACUAUAGCAAUAUAGUAUAUAGUAUAUAUGUUAUAGGUAUUAUAGUACAUAUAGUAUAUAGCCUAUAUUACAUAGUACAUAAUGAGUAUUAUGUAUGAAAGUCCUAACAAAAUUAUGUGCCAGCAGUUGCGGUUAUACAUAUAGGGCUAGUAUUAUACAUUUACGGUUUUAAGGGUACGCAGUAUGGUAUAGUAUAUAUUCUAGAGUACUAUAUAAUAUGGUAGUGUAAGAGUAUGAGAAAGUGUUAUAUCUGUAUAUACAUACUAGAAUACCAGUAUAUGAAAGUAGCUACCAUAUAUAGUACUGACAUUUAGGUACGAAAUUUACAGUAGCGAAAUGGGGUUGUCAGCCAUAUAGUUGUAGACGUAAACUAUGUAUGCUAAUAUUAUAACAUAUAUAUUUUUAUAUAGUAUUUUAUAAUAUAUAGUGAAAACGGUAAGCAUACCACCUUAGGAGUACUAUUACAUAUAGAAACUGAAAACAAUAGGCGGUCUAGAUUACUAACAGUGGUAUAUGUAAUUUAAUAUGAUAAUACGCGCUAACAUUACCAUACUUUGCAUAUUUACUAUGGUAUAUAUAUGUAUACUAUAUUUUACAUAGUAAUAUAGGUAUUAUAAUAUUAUAUACUAUAUAGUAAUAUUUUACAUAGUAAUAUAUUAGUACUAUAAAUAUAUGUAUAUACAUAUAGCAUAUAUUGCAUAGUAAUAUGUAGUAUAUAAUAUAGUAUACUAUAAAAUUUAUAUACUAUUUUUACAUAGUAAUAUUAUAUCUAUAUAAUAUAUAUGUAUUAUACUACAGAUAUUACAUAGUAAUAUAUUGUAUACUAUAAUAUUAUAGUAUUUUAUAGCUAUAUUUUAUAAUAGUAAAUAUGCUAUGUAUAUAUGCAAGUAAAUAUUACUACUAUAAAAUGUUAGUAAAUAUUACUACGUAUAUAUUAGUAAAUAUUACUAUAUAAUAUUUAUAUACUAUAUUAUACUAUAAAAUAUAUAUACUAUAGUAUUUACAAGUGCUACAUAGCUGUCUAGCAGUUCAUGCCGUAAGGUAUACAUUUUAGUAUGGUAAUGUACGAAAUCUACAUAAUAUUGUAAUAUGGUAUACUAUAUAUGUAUACUAUAUAAAAAUAUUAUUACUAUAGUAUAUAUACUAUAGCAUAUAUGUAGGGAAAGACAAGUCUUCAUGGCCUACAUAGUAUGGGCUAUAUACGUAUAACAAGAAUAUCAUACAAAAAUAUAGUACAUAGUAAUAUAGCCUAGUAUUAUAAAGGGUAUUAUCUAUCACUAUAUAAUAUUUAUAGUGUAUAAUACCGUAUUAUUACCUGUAACCCGGUAAUAUGCAGUAGAAAUUGUCAGUAAUGGUAUACUAGUAUUAUACCGUGAAGAAUUUUUCUAGGCGUACUAAUCACUCAUCAUUUGGCUAUAGGAUGUCACAUAUAAAAUAUAUAUACAUACUAUAUAUAUAUGGUAAAAUAUACAUAUAUAUAUAUACAUAGUAAAUAUUACUAUGGUAUACUAUUUAUAGAUACUAGUAUAGUAUAUAUAUUAGUAUGUGUAUCUCAUAGUUGAGAAGUUGAAAUAUAGUUGUGGUAGAUGAAUCUGCUGCGGGAAAUAUUAUUAG
rnacentral:rRNA from 1 species